rnacentral:lncRNA from 1 species
CAAAGAUCCUAUUUUUUUGUCAGGUUGAAUCUAGAUGCCUAUGGAAAGAGGUUAAGAACAUGGAAUACAUAUGGUCUAUAAUAAGUGGAAACAUAAAAGGACUCGGAGAUCUGGAUUUCUCUUGCAAGCUCUGAGGCACGUCCACUUGUGUUGCUACCUAUUUUCACUGCGGGACCACCACACUCUUCCUCGCCUCAGAGCUUGAUCCCUUCCCCAGUGAUUCAGUGAUUCAGAGUCCAAAGAAGACCAAACAGGUUUUGAUUACUGGAUUACAUCUGGGCUCAAUUACAAUCCAUAGGAGUUUUGCCACUGAUUCCCUGGAAUUAACUGAGCUAUCUACUCAAUGGCUUAGUGGGAUUUUCUACACGGGAGUGCACUGUGGAGGCAUUGCACAGCGUGGGACAUCUACCAAGACAAUUGAGAAAUUCAGGUGUAUCUUGCUUCUAUAAGGGGAGAGAGAGGAAGGGCAGCCUUUGCCUGUGG